AUAGCUUUUUUAAUCUUCUAUUAAUUUUUUUGUUCCAAAUACUGCAGCUGCUUCUGAAAGUUCUAAGCCCCUUACCAGUCUAGAAAUUAACGAGUCUAAAGUUGAUUGGAGGUCUUUCCAUGCAAAAUAUCCUUGGAUAAAAAAGAAUGCUCAUAAAAGUAUUCCUGGAAGCAGAAAAUUACUCAAUGAUAUUGCCAAUGACCAGCUUGGAGGACAUUCUCUACAAAUCUGAUGAAGAAUAAUGUUGCAACCAAAAAAUCACUACAGGACUUUUUAGUGAUGAGAAAAUAAAGUUUUUUUAAUGGCAAAUAUAAUAUGUAUUAAUAAAUUAAAGUAUAAGAGUCCUCCUACCCAUAUACUAUAAUAUAUAAAUUAAGUUGUUUUAGGUUGAAUAGACCUACAAAUUAAACACAAGUUGUUAAUUAUA